ACACAGGCGGUUCACAUAACAAACCGCCUUCUUCCUCCUCGGGCAGAACUGUAGGUAGCAGCUACAUUCCAUUGGAGCACAUCUUGGAGGUCCAGUUUUUCCAAAAUACAAGGGGGGAGGUUUUGAUCUUUAUUUCUUGGAAGGAGGUGGCUAAGAAAGGUUAAUGCCUCUUUUUGUGCCCUCUUGCUCAAUUUGAGCUACUUUUUGGAUCUAGGGUUUCACCAUGAGAGAGAGAGUAGAAUAGCUAGGUAUGGUCUAUUUUGCUCAAAUAAAGUUGCUUAUGAUGGAUAUAUGAUGUCUCUCCUAUCUUGUUUUUUAUGUUUACUUCUCUAAUUUGUGAAUCCAAGAAAUAUAUUUGUAGUAGUUUCCAUGAAUGGUGUUUCCAUGCUUGGGAGAGAAAGAUAAGUUUUCUUUUUAGUUUUUUAAAUUAUAUGGUUUAGGAUGUUAUUUUUUAUGUAAAUUUGAUUUAAUUAUGCGAUAAGGAUUUUUUAUAUAUAAGGUUGCUUCAGAUGUUGCCUCUCCUCUCACCAUUUCCAUGUUUCCUUCUCAAAUUUUUUAGUGAUAUAAUAUAUUUAGUUUCAAUCAACAGUGUUUUUGUACCUUCUCAAAUUUAUUUUAGUGAUAUAAAGAUAUAUAUUUACGGUUUUGUCUUUAUUUUUGAUACUUGUUUUACUUUUUCAAUUUGAUUUAAUUGUUAGGUGUUCUUUUAUUUUUGAUGACAGAUAUUCGUAGACAAUAUUUCAAUUAAUUUACUAACUUUUCAACAGGUCAAAAUACAAGGUUUGAGGUUUUGAUCUUCAUUUCUUGGAAGGAGGUGGAGGUGGCUAAGAAAGGUAAAUUUUCUUUUUAGUUUUUAAAAUUAUAUUGUUUAGGAUGUUAUUUUUAUGUAAAUUUGAUUUAAUUAUGCGAUAAGCAUUUUUUAUAUAUGAGGUAGCUUCAGAUGUUGCCUCUCCUCUCACCAUUUCCAUGUUUCCUUCUCAAAUUUUUUAGUGAUAUAAUAUAUUUAGUUUCAAUCAACAGUGUUUUUGUACCUUGUCAAAUUUAUUUUAGUGAUAUAAAGAUACUUAUUUAUGGUUUUGUCUUUAUUUUUGAUACUUGUUUUACUUUUUCAAUUUGAUUUAAUUGUUAGGUGUUCUUUUAUUUUUGAUGACAGAUAUUCGUAGACAAUAUUUCAAUUAAUUUACUAACUUUUCAACAGGUCAAAAUACAAGGUUUGAGGUUUUGAUCUUCAUUUCAUGGAAGGAGGUGGAGGUGGCUAAGAAAGGUAAGUUUUCUUUUUAGUUUUUUAAAUUAUAUUGGUUAGGAUGUUAUUUUUUAUGUAAAUUUGAUUUAAUUACGCGAUAAGCAUUUUUGUGCCCUCUUGUUAAAAGAUGUUGCCUCUCCUCUCACCAUUUCCAUGAUUCCUUUUUCAAUUUGAUUUAAUUGUUAGGUCUUCUUUUAUUUUUAAUAACAAAUAUUCGUAGACAAUAUUUCAAUUAAUUUACUAACUUUUCAACAGGUCAUGAUGGAGAGGUCCUUAUGGAUGUAUAACUUAUCAAGACUAGAUCCAUCAUAUAUACCUGAGGUGCAUAGGUUUGUUGAUGCCGCUAAGAACCAUGCUUUGAGAACAAAGACGAAGCAUAUAUAUUGUCCAUGCUACGACUACAGAAAUAUUCUUCUAUUUGAAGAUACUGAAGUAAUCAUUUCUCAUCUAGUCUGUCGAGGAUUUAUGAAGUAUUACUUGAUUUGGACAAAGUAUGGAGAGCGUAGCUCAGCGCCAUAUACAGUUGGGGACCCAGCACACAUCGACACCGAUGGUCCAGGCAUGCCUGCUGAUCAGUUUUUCCACGACACACCCUAGAGUGAACAUGUUGUGCCAAAUGUUACCGCUGGUGGAUCUGCUGGGGGAAAUGAUGGUGCAAGAACUCAUGUCUUACCAAAUGAUACGGCUGCAGAAGAUGCUGAAUUCUUGGAGGCAAUGUUGCAUCGUCAUACUGAACCAUCAAUGUUAUUAAUGAAUGCGAUGGAGGCCUUGAAGAAGGCAGCAGAAGAGCCUUUGUAUGAUGAGUCUAAAGGUUGUACCAAAGAGUACACAACGUUACGAGCUAUGCUAAAACUGUUGAUGGCAAAAGCCAGGUAUGGUUUGUCCGAUGCUAGAUUCGACGCGUUCUUAAGUAUUAUCGGCGAUAUGCUUCCAAAGGAGAACAAAGUUCCUGCUAACACAUACUAUGCAAAGAAGCUGAUCAGUCCGCUGACUAUGGGUGU
rnacentral:lncRNA from 1 species